UACACGACCGUACCGCAAACCGACACUGGUGCGCGAGAUGAGUAUUCUAAGGCGCUUGAGAGAACUCAGGAGAAGGAACUCGGCAAAUUGACACCGUAACUUCGGAAGAAGGUGUGCCUUUAGUAGGUGAAGUCCCUCGCGGAUGGAGCCCAAUGAGGUUGCAAAAAAUCGGUGGCUGCGACUGUUUAUUAAAAACACAGCACUCUGCAAACACGAAAGUGGACGUAUAGGGUGUGACGCCUGCCCGGUGCUGGAAGAUUAAAUGAUGGGGUGCAAGCUCUUGAUUGAAGUCCCAGUAAACGGCGGCCGUAACGAUAACGGUCCUAAGGUAGCGAAAUUCCUUGUCGGGUAAGUUCCGACCUGCACGAAUGGCGUAACGAUGGCCACACUGUCUCCUCCUGAGACUCAGCGAAGUUGAAAUGUUUGUGAUGAUGCAAUCUCCCCGCGGAAAGACGGAAAGACCCCAUGAACCUUUACUGUAGCUUUGUAUUGGACUUUGAACAGAUCUGUGUAGGAUAGGUGGGAGGCUUUGAAGCAGGGUCGCUAGAUCUUGUGGAGCCAACGUUGAAAUACCACCCUGGUGUGUUUGAGGUUCUAACCUAGGCCCGUAAUCCGGGUUGGGGACAGUGCAUGGUAGGCAGUUUGACUGGGGCGGUCUCCUCCCAAAGUGUAACGGAGGAGUUCGAAGGUACGCUAGUUACGGUCGGACAUCGUGACGAUAGUGCAAUGGCAUAAGCGUGCUUAACUGCGAGACUGACAAGUCGAGCAGAUGCGAAAGCAGGACAUAGUGAUCCGGUGGUUCUGUAUGGAAGGGCCAUCGCUCAACGGAUAAAAGGUACUCUGGGGAUAACAGGCAUACCGCCCAAGAGUUCAUAUCGACGGCGGUGUUUGGCACCUCGAUGUCGGCUCAUCUCAUCCUGGGGCUGUAGCCGGUCCCAAGGGUAUGGCUGUUCGCCAUUUAAAGAGGUACGUGAGCUGGGUUUAAAACGUCGUGAGACAGUUUGGUCCCUAUCUUCCGUGGGCGCUGCAGAUUUGAGGAAGCCUGCUCCUAGUACGAGAGGACCGGAGUGGACGCACCUCUGGUGUAUCGGUUGUCACGCCAGUGGCAUUGCCGAGUAGCUAUGUGCGGAAGAGAUAACCGCUGAAAGCAUCUAAGCGGGAAACUCGUUUCAAGAUGAGAUCUGCCGGGGCCUUGAGCCCCCUGAAGAGUCGUUCAAGACCAGGACGUUGAUAGGUCGGGUGUGGAAGCGCAGUAAUGCGUUAAGCUAACCGAUACUAAUUGCUCGUGCGGCUUGACCAA
rnacentral:rRNA from 1 species